GACUUAAUAAGUUUGAAGUGGUUAGUACUCCACGUUGUGGCCGUGGCGACGCUAGUUCGAUUCCAGCAGCAGGCA